UUAAAGAGAGUUUGAUCCUGGCUCAGGACGAACGCUGGCGGCGUGCCUAAUACAUGCAAGUCGAACGAACCGACGAAAGAGCUUGCUCUUUCUGACGUUAGUGGCGGACGGGUGAGUAACACGUGGGCAACCUGCCUGUAAGUUGG
rnacentral:rRNA from 1 species